rnacentral:rRNA from 1 species
UUGCUGGGUGGAUCAGUGGCGAACGGGUGAGUAACACGUGAGCAACCUGCCCUCCACUUUGGGAUAAGCCUUGGAAACGAGGUCUAAUACCAAAUAUGAGCAUGCGACGCAUGUCGUGUGUUGGAAAGUUUUUCGGUGGGGGAUGGGCUCGCGGCCUAUCAGCUUGUUGGUGGGGUAAUGGCCUACCAAGGCGUCGACGGGUAGCCGGCCUGAGAGGGCGACCGGCCACACUGGGACUGAGACACGGCCCAGACUCCUACGGGAGGCAGCAGUGGGGAAUAUUGCACAAUGGGCGAAAGCCUGAUGCAGCGACGCCGCGUGAGGGAUGACGGCCUUCGGGUUGUAAACCUCUUUCAGCAGGGAAGAAGGCUUCGGUUGACGGUACCUGCAGAAGAAGCGCCGGCUAACUACGUGCCAGCAGCCGCGGUAAUACGUAGGGCGCAAGCGUUGUCCGGAAUUAUUGGGCGUAAAGAGCUCGUAGGCGGUCUGUCGCGUCUGGUGUGAAAACCCGAGGCUCAACCUCGGGCUUGCAUCGGGUACGGGCAGACUAGAGUGCGGUAGGGGAGACUGGAAUUCCUGGUGUAGCGGUGGAAUGCGCAGAUAUCAGGAGGAACACCGAUGGCGAAGGCAGGUCUCUGGGCCGCAACUGACGCUGAGGAGCGAAAGCAUGGGGAGCGAACAGGAUUAGAUACCCUGGUAGUCCAUGCCGUAAACGUUGGGCACUAGGUGUGGGGCUCAUUCCACGAGUUCCGUGCCGCAGCUAACGCAUUAAGUGCCCCGCCUGGGGAGUACGGCCGCAAGGCUAAAACUCAAAGGAAUUGACGGGGGCCCGCACAAGCGGCGGAGCAUGCGGAUUAAUUCGAUGCAACGCGAAGAACCUUACCAAGGCUUGACAUGCACCGGACGCUGCCAGAGAUGGUGGUUCCGCAAGGUCGGUGCACAGGUGGUGCAUGGUUGUCGUCAGCUCGUGUCGUGAGAUGUUGGGUUAAGU